UACGUAGGGGGCAAGCGUUGUCCGGUAUCAUUGGGCGUAAAGCGCGUGUAGGCGGUUACGUAAGUCUGCUGUGAAAGUCGGAGGCUCAACCUUCGAAAGCCGGUGGAUACUGCGUGACUAGAGUACGGAAGAGGAGAGUGGAAUUCCUGGUGUAGCGGUGAAAUGCGCAGAUAUCAAGAGGAACACCAACGGCGAAGGCAGCUCUCUGGGACGUUACUGACGCUGAGACGCGAAAGCGUGGGGAGCAAACAGG
rnacentral:rRNA from 1 species